rnacentral:rRNA from 1 species
AUUGAACGCUGGCGGCAGGCCUAACACAUGCAAGUCGAGCGGAUGAAGGGAGCUUGCUCCUGGAUUCAGCGGCGGACGGGUGAGUAAUGCCUAGGAAUCUGCCUGGUAGUGGGGGAUAACGUCCGGAAACGGGCGCUAAUACCGCAUACGUCCUGAGGGAGAAAGUGGGGGAUCUUCGGACCUCACGCUAUCAGAUGAGCCUAGGUCGGAUUAGCUAGUUGCUGGGGUAAAGGCCUACCAAGGCGACGAUCCGUAACUGGUCUGAGAGGAUGAUCAGUCACACUGGAACUGAGACACGGUCCAGACUCCUACGGGAGGCAGCAGUGGGGAAUAUUGGACAAUGGGCGAAAGCCUGAUCCAGCCAUGCCGCGUGUGUGAAGAAGGUCUUCGGAUUGUAAAGCACUUUAAGUUGGGAGGAAGGGCAGAAAGUUAAUACCUUGCUGUUUUGACGUUACCAACAGAAUAAGCACCGGCUAACUUCGUG